UAGUUUUCCGCUGGCUUUGCCUGGACCGC
rnacentral:sRNA from 1 species